rnacentral:rRNA from 1 species
GAGUUUGAUCAUGGCUCAGGAUGAACGCUAGCGGGAGGCCUAACACAUGCAAGCCGAGCGGGAUUUGUUGGUUAGCUUGCUAACUAAUAAUGAGAGCGGCGUACGGGUGCGUAACACGUGUGCAACCUGCCUUUAUCUGGGGGAUAGCCUUUCGAAAGGAAGAUUAAUACCCCAUAAUAUAUUAAUUGGCAUCAAUUGAUAUUGAAAGCUCCGGCGGAUAGAGAUGGGCACGCGUAAGAUUAGCUAGUUGGUGAGGUAACGGCUCACCAAGGCUGCGAUCUUUAGGGGGCCUGAGAGGGUGAUCCCCCACACUGGUACUGAGACACGGACCAGACUCCUACGGGAGGCAGCAGUGAGGAAUAUUGGACAAUGGGUGAGAGCCUGAUCCAGCCAUCCCGCGUGAAGGACUAAGGACCUAUGGUUUGUAAACUUCUUUUAUACAGGGAUAAACCUACUCUCGUGAGGGUAGCUGAAGGUACUGUAUGAAUAAGCACCGG